CCUACGGGAGGCAGCAGUAGGGAAUCUUCCGCAAUGGGCGCAAGCCUGAUGCAGCCAUGCCGCGUGUGUGAAGAAGGCCUUCGGGUUGUAAAGCACUUUCAGCGGGGAGGAAGGCGGUGAGGUUAAUAACCUCAUCGAUUGACGUUACCCGCAGAAGAAGCACCGGCUAACUCCGUGCCAGCAGCCGCGGUAAUACGGAGGGUGCAAGCGUUAAUCGGAAUUACUGGGCGUAAAGCGCACGCAGGCGGUCUGUCAAGUCGGAUGUGAAAUCCCCGGGCUCAACCUGGGAACUGCAUUCGAAACUGGCAGGCUAGAGUCUUGUAGAGGGGGGUAGAAUUCCAGGUGUAGCGGUGAAAUGCGUAGAGAUCUGGAGGAAUACCGGUGGCGAAGGCGGCCCCCUGGACAAAGACUGACGCUCAGGUGCGAAAGCGUGGGGAGCAAACAGGAUUAGAUACCCUAGUAGUC
rnacentral:rRNA from 1 species